GACGAACGCUGGCGGCGUGCUUAACACAUGCAAGUCGAACGGAAAGGCCCUGCUUUUGUGGGGUGCUCGAGUGGCGAACGGGUGAGUAACACGUGAGUAUCCUGCCCUUGACUUUGGGAUAACUUCAGGAAACUGGGGCUAAUACCGGGUAGGAGAUCUUGCUGCAUGGUGGGGGUUGGAAAGUUUCGGCGGUUGGGGAUGGACUCGCGGCUUAUCAGCUUGUUGGUGGGGUAGUGGCUUACCAAGGCUUUGACGGGUAGCCGGCCUGAGAGGGUGACCGGCCACAUGGGUACUACGGUACGGACCAGUCGCCAACGGGAGGCAACAGGCGGAAGUAUGGCGCAGUGGGGGGAAGCGUGAGACAGCAGCGCCGCGUUCGUGAUGACCUCCUUCUGGUGGUAAACCGCUUUCUCCUGAGACGAAGCGGGAUUGACGGUAAUGAGUAAAGAAGCACCGGCUAACUACGUG
rnacentral:rRNA from 1 species